AUGGAAGGCAGCAACCUACCUACUGGAAACAUGAUGCAAGGAAUUCCUUAUAGUAGUUUGAAUGUGCACGGUAACUCCAUGCAAAUGCAUGCUUCAAGCUCAGGAAAACAGCUAUUCAACCAAUCUCAGAUGCUAGGGAGUUUUGCAAUGCCUAUCAACAGGGCUACAGCACGUGAUAACCCUGGAUUUCAAUUUGGAGAACAUGAAAAAAAGGAUCACCACCAGCACAGUCAUUACUCUAAGGACUCCAUCAGUGAUGAGGAGCAUGAUAUGACCGAGGAUGUUACUGAUACCCAGAAUGACAAAGGCAAGAAGGGUUCAGCAUGGCAUCGGAUGAAGUGGACAGGUUCCAUGGUUAAACUUUUGAUUACCGCAGCAUCCUACACGGGGGAGGAUCCUGGGGCGGAUCAAGGCGGAAGGAGGAACAUUGCAAUAGUGCAGAAGAAGGGCAAAUGGAAAGCAAUAUCAAAGGUCAUGGGCGAAAGAGGCUGCAGUGUGUCACCACAGCAGUGCGAGGAUAAGUUCAAUGAUCUCAACAAGAGAUAUAAAAGGCUUACAGAUAUCCUUGGUCGUGGUACUGCUUGCAAUGUUGUGGAAAAUCCAGCACUUCUUGAUAGCAUGCAUCAUCUUUCUGAUAAGAUGAAAGAAGAUGCAAGGAAGAUAUUGAACUCUAAGCACUUAUUCUAUGAGCAGAUGUGUUCAUAUCAUAACAACAACCGUGUCAAUUUACCUGAAGAUCUCGCACUUCAGCACUCACUACAGGUUGCUCUUAGAUGUAAAGAGGAGCAUGAUCUGAGGAGGGAUGCAAGUGCAGAUCCUGAAGAGGGUGAGCAGAGUGCAGAUUCUGAUUACGAGGAGCAUGACGAAGAGCAUCAAACAGUUCAUACCAACUUGAGGGAUUCUUACAUGAAUAAAAGAAUGUGUCGUGCGGUGGAUCAUGGUGAUGUGGGUUUUGUCACCUCAAGCUCAAACGGUGUUAGUGGGAGGUUCAAUCCUCAUGACAUCACAUUGGGUAUCAACAAUGCUAUUCCAGGUGGAGCCAACUUGUCUUUUGCGCGGAAGGACUUGACUUCACAACAAAUAGAGUUUCAGAAACAUCGCUUGCACACCCAAGAACAAAAACUGGAAGUGGCAAAACAACGUCUCAAGUGGGAGAGAUUUAGGAUGAAGAAGGACAGGGAAAUUGAAAGGAUGACAUUGGAGAAUGAACAAAUGAUGCUUCAGCAGAAGCGUUUGGAACUUCAGCUAAGACACCAGGAGCUAGAGCUUGAGCUAAAAGGCAAUGCAAAUCAUGCAUGA
rnacentral:rRNA from 1 species